CAUUUUCAUUUCAGGAUUAAAAAUUCGCAAUUCGUCGACUAUUUACAUAGCCGGCUAUGAUUGAAAAGCGUUAAUGAUUGACGUAUUGCAGCUCAUUGUGAAAAUAUGUCUCGAUUCCGACAUAUAUCUUACUGGCAUCUGUUAGUUUGAAAUUAAAUGUUUAAAUUAAAUUACAUCAUAUAAGUAGAGGGGACUGGAUAGCUUCUGUAUUCAGAAAAUCCACGAAGAUAACAGAAAAAUGAAUUACUUAUUCUUGCUGUUCGUCUUGGCUGCUGUAUUAGUAGCAAUAGUCCAUGGUCAAGAUGCUAAUGGGUGUUACCCAUUCACGGGACCAUGUGAAGAUCCCUGCUUUCUACUAGAAACUUCAACUGGAUGCGUUGGUUGCGCUUGUCCAUGAAUAUGAAACUCGCACUCAAAAAGCCUGUGCACUCGUCGAAUAUACAUAAAUAUUGGAGACACAACUUCUUAUUUGAUAAAAUCCUCUAGCGUUUAUAAUAAUUCUCUGUGAACUAGCGUUUGUACAAUAUUUUGUACUUUUUCGAUUCUAAUAAAUAAAAAUCUAUAA